ACAUGCAUACAUCAUAGCAUUAAUGCACCAUAUCCCACUAGAAAUCUACAGUUAAGCGCACUCGGGAUAGAGUAGUAUUGGGAUGGGUGAUCUCCCGUGAAGUCCUAGUGUUUUACAUGCC
rfam:Picea glauca, whole genome shotgun sequence.